rnacentral:tRNA from 2 species
AGGCGUAUAGCUCCAACGGUAGAGCAUCGGAUUCCAAAUCCGAGUGAUGGGGGUUCGAAUCCCUCUGCGCCUGCCA